rnacentral:rRNA from 1 species
GACGAACGCUGGCGGCGUGCUUAACACAUGCAAGUCGAACGGAAAGGCCCCUUUGGGGGUACUCGAGUGGCGAACGGGUGCGUAACACGCGAGUAACCUGCCCCUGACUCCGGGACUACUUUAGGAAACUGGGGCCAAUACUGGAUACGAAUCCUUGCUGCAUGGUGGGGGUUGGAAAGUUUCGUCGGUUUUGGAUGGACCCGCGGCUUAUCGGCUUGUUGGGGUGGUGGUGUCUUACCAAGGCUUGUGCGGGAAGCCGGCCUGAGGGGGCGACCGGCCGCCUUGAGACUGAGGUGCGGCCCAGGCUCCUACGGGUGGCAGCAGUGGGGAAUCUUGCACGAUGGGCGGCGGCCUAAUGCAGCAACGCCGCGUGCGGUAUGACGGCCUUCGGGUUGUAAACCGCUUUCGGCAGGAGCGGAGCUUGUGGUGACGGUACCUGCAGAAGAAGCACCGGCUAACUACGUG